GAUGAACGCUGGCGGCGUGCCUAAUACAUGCAAGUCGAGCGAACGGACGAGAAGCUUGCUUCUCUGAUGUUAGCGGCGGACGGGUGAGUAACACGUGGAUAACCUACCUAUAAGACUGGGAUAACUUCGGGAAACCGGAGCUAAUACCGGAUAAUAUUUUGAACCGCAUGGUUCAAAAGUGAAAGACGGUCUUGCUGUCACUUAUAGAUGGAUCCGCGCUGCAUUAGCUAGUUGGUAAGGUAACGGCUUACCAAGGCAACGAUGCAUAGCCGACCUGAGAGGGGGGUCGGCACCACUGGACCUGAGACACGGCCCAGCCUCCAAGGGGGGGCAGCAGAGGGGAUUCUUCCGCAAGGGGCAAAGGCCUGAGGGGGCAACGCGGCGGGAGGAAGAAGGUUCUCCGAACGUUAAAACUUUUUUAUUGGGGAAAAACAUAUGUGAAAGUAACUGUGCACAUCUGGAGGGUCCCAAAUAAGAAGCCCAGGCCAAAGUCGGCC
rnacentral:rRNA from 1 species